UACGUAGGGUGCACGCGUUAAUCGGAAUUACUGGGCGUAAAGCGUGCGCAGGCGGUGAUGUAAGACAGGUGUGAAAUCCCCGGGCUUAACCUGGGAACUGCAUUUGUGACUGCAUCGCUGGAGUGCGGCAGAGGGGGAUGGAAUUCCGCGUGUAGCAGUGAAAUGCGUAGAUAUGCGGAGGAACACCGAUGGCGAAGGCAAUCCCCUGGGCCUGCACUGACGCUCAUGCACGAAAGCGUGGGGAGCAAACAGG
rnacentral:rRNA from 1 species